GCGGAUAGAGCUCAGUGAUAGAGCACAUGCUUAGCAUGCACAAGGUCCUGGGUUCAAUCCCCCGUACCUCCA
rnacentral:tRNA from 1 species